rnacentral:rRNA from 1 species
AUGGACUCAAUUCUUUCUAAUGGAACUUGGGAACUAACUGAUAGACCAUAUGGUUGUAAACCUGUGGGCUGUAAGUGGGUGUUCAAAAAGAAGCUAAAGCCUGAUGAUACUAUUGAUAAGUACAAGGCGCGGCUAGUGGCCAAGGGCUACACUCAGAAAGAAGGCGAAGAUUACUUUGACACCUAUUCACCCGUUGCUAGAAUGACCACCAUUCGAGUGUUACUUUCCUUGGCUGCCUCUUAUGGUCUUAUCAUUCAUCAAAUGGAUGUAAAGACAGCUUUUCUCAAUGGAGAGUUGGAAGAGGAGAUCUAUAUGGAUCAGCCUGACGGGUUUGUGGUAAAGGGUGAAGAGAGAAAGGAGGCUGAUAGGUGUGUUUACUAUCGCCAUGGUGGGGGCAAUAGUCUCAUAUUAUGUUUGUCUGUGGACGACAUACUGAUCUUUGGUACAAACAUUAAUGCAAUUAAUGAGGUCAAGUCUUUUCUAUCAAAAAGUUUUGACAUGAAAGAUCUGGGAGAAGCCGAUGUAAUUCUAAACAUCAAACUUAUUAAGGAUGAGAGUGGGAUUACAUUAACGCAAUCUCACUAUGUUGAGAAGGUCUUGAACCGAUUCGGUUUUAUGGAUAGCAAGCCUUCUCCAACACCUUAUGAUCCCAGCGUGACACUCAGAAAGAACAAGAAAGAAACGAGAGAUCAAUUAAGAUACUCUCAAAUUGUCGGUUCACUCAUGUACUUAGCUAGCGCUACAAGACCAGCUAUCUCUUUUGCUGUGAGCAAACUGAGUAGGUUCAUGUCCAACCCGGGUGAUGAUCAUUGGCAUGCACUAGAAAGGGUCUUGCGCUAUCUGAGAGGUACUAUGAGUUACGGAAUUACUUAUUCAGGGCAUCCUGCUGUGCUAGAAGGAUAUAGUGAUUCAAAAUGGAUCUCCGAUGUUGAUGUACUUUACGCAACAAGUGGGUAUGUAUUUACUCAUGGUGGUGGCGCAGUGUCAUGGAGGUCUUGCAAGCAAACCAUAUUGACGAGGUCAACUAUGGAAGCAGAAUUAACUGCUUUGGACACAGCUACUGUUGAGGCAGAAUGGCUGCGUGAGCUCUUGAUGGACUUGCCGGUUGUUGAAAAACCUGUACCGGCUAUUCUUAUGAAUUGUGAUAACCAAACGGUUAUCGCUAAAGUGAACAAUUCUAAAGAUAAUGCAAAGUCAUCAAGACACAUGAAAAGACGUUUGAAGUCUGUCAGGAAGUUGAGAAACUCCGGAGUAAUAACUGUUACGUAUAUACAAACAGACAAAAACCUGGCAGAUCCCUUUACAAAGGGACAAUCACGAAAUGUGAUAGAUAUUGCAUCGAGGGAGAUGGGUAUGAGACCCAUAGCAGUCUUGAAAGAACACACCUAUAUGAGUUCUGACUGUAAACGUCGCAGUCUAUGA